rnacentral:rRNA from 1 species
AUGAUUAAGUUAUUAAGGGCGCACGGUGGAUGCCUUGGCACUAGAAGCCGAAGAAGGACGUUACUAACGACGAUAUGCUUUGGGGAGCUGUAAGUACGCUUUGAUCCAGAGAUUUCCGAAUGGGGAAACCCAGCAUGAGUUAUGUCAUGUUAUCCACAUAUGAAUACAUAGUAUGUGAGAAGGCACACCCGGAGAACUGAAACAUCUUAGUACCCGGAGGAAGAGAAAGAAAACUCGAUUCCCUGAGUAGCGGCGAGCGAAACGGGAAUAGCCCAAACCAAUAGGCUUGCCUAUUGGGGUUGUAGGACACUCAAUACGGAGUUACAAAGGAAAUAAUUAGACGAAUGGUUUUGGAAAAGCCAACCAUAGAAGGUAAAGGUCCUGUAGUCGAAAGUUAUUUCUCUCCUGAGUGGAUCCUGAGUACGGCGGAACACGUGUAAUUCCGUCGGAAUCUGGGAGGACCAUCUCCCAAGGCUAAAUACUCUCUAGUGACCGAUAGUGAACCAGUACCGUGAGGGAAAGGUGAAAAGCACCCCGGAAGGGGAGUGAAAUAGAACCUGAAACCGUGUGCUUACAAAUAGUCAGAGCCCGUUAAUGGGUGAUGGCGUGCCUUUUGUAGAAUGAACCGGCGAGUUACGAUUUGAUGCAAGGUUAAGCAGUAAAUGUGGAGCCGUAGCGAAAGCGAGUCUGAAUAGGGCGAAUGAGUAUCUGGUCGUAGACCCGAAACCAAGUGAUCUACCCAUGUCCAGGUUGAAGUUCAGGUAACACUGAAUGGAGGACCGAACCGACUUACGUUGAAAAGUGAGCGGAUGAGGUGUGGGUAGCGGAGAAAUUCCAAUCGAACUUGGAGAUAGCUGGUUCUCUCCGAAAUAGCUUUAGGGCUAGCCUCAAGUGAUGAUUAUUGGAGGUAGAGCACUGUUUGGACGAGGGGCCCCUCUAGGGUUACCGAAUUCAGACAAACUCCGAAUGCCAAAUAAUUUAACUUGGGAGUCAGACUAUGGGUGAUAAGGUCCAUAGUCGAAAGGGAAACAGCCCAGACCACCAGCUAAGGUCCCAAAAUAUAUGUUAAGUGGAAAAGGAUGUGGCGUUGCCCAGACAACUAGGAUGUUGGCUUAGAAGCAGCCAUCAUUUAAAGAGUGCGUAAUAGCUCACUAGUCGAGUGACACUGCGCCGAAAAUGUACCGGGGCUAAACAUAUUACCGAAGCUGUGGAUUAUCCGUAAGGAUAAUGGUAGGAGAGCGUUCUAAACGUGUUGAAGCAUGAUCGCAAGGACAUGUGGAAUGUUUAGAAGUGAGAAUGCCGGUGUGAGUAGCGAAAGAUGGGUGAGAAUCCCAUCCACCGAUUGACUAAGGUUUCCAGAGGAAGGCUCGUCCGCUCUGGGUUAGUCGGGACCUAAGCCGAGGCCGAUAGGCGUAGGCGAUGGAUAACAGGUAGAUAUUCCUGUACCACCUAUGAUUGUUUGAACGAUGGGGGGACGCAGUAGGAUAGGCGAAGCGUGCUGUUGGAGUGCACGUCCAAGCAACAAGACUGAGUGUUAGGCAAAUCCGGCACUCGUAAGGUUGAGUUGUGAUGGGGAGUUGGAUCAUGAAUCCGACGAGUCGUUGAUUUCACACUGCCAAGAAAAGCCUCUAGUUAGAAAAUAGGUGCCCGUACCGCAAACCGACACAGGUAGUCAAGAUGAGAAUUCUAAGGUGAGCGAGCGAACUCUCGUUAAGGAACUCGGCAAAAUGACCCCGUAACUUCGGGAGAAGGGGUGCUUUUUAAGGUGCAAGCCUUGAAGAGCCGCAGUGAAUAGGCCCAAGCGACUGUUUAUCAAAAACACAGGUCUCUGCUAAACCGUAAGGUGAUGUAUAGGGGCUGACGCCUGCCCGGUGCUGGAAGGUUAAGAGGAGUGGUUAGCUUCUGCGAAGCUACGAAUCGAAGCCCCAGUAAACGGCGGCCGUAACUAUAACGGUCCUAAGGUAGCGAAAUUCCUUGUCGGGUAAGUUCCGACCCGCACGAAAGGCGUAACGAUUUGGGCACUGUCUCAACGAGAGACUCGGUGAAAUCAUAGUACCUGUGAAGAUGCAGGUUACCCGCGACAGGACGGAAAGACCCCGUGGAGCUUUACUGUAGCCUGAUAUUGAAAUUCGGCACAGCUUGUACAGGAUAGGUAGGAGCCUUAGAA